rnacentral:lncRNA from 1 species
AAAUUAGAUUAAAAUAUUAGAUUACAGGAAAAAUGUAAUGAUUCUCCAUCUAAAUUUCUCCACACACCUGAGGGACUGUUCCAGCAAUGAUGAUGAUAUUUAUCCACACUUUAAAGUACAAACAGAUUACAAAUAAUGGGGCCUGUUUGUGGUCUGUGUGGGAAGUUUAUACCUAGCAAAACUGUUUGAACUGUCUUUUGUUUCUUUAGAAUUCAGGUUCUUAAAAGUUCAUUUGAAAAGAAUAUCUACCAUUCUGUUGACUAUGAAGAACGUAUUUUUACUUCAGAGAUGCAUCUGAUGAAAGAAGACAUAAAAGGAAUCCAAGAGAAACUUCUAAAAGAAAUGCAAGAAGAGGAGCUGUGCAAUGUUCGCAGAGGAUUGCAGACCCUGUUUCGAUC